GAGCGAGACCGAGGGAGAGAGAGAGAGAGAAUGGCGACUUCACAUUUCUCUGCGACUUCGCAUUGUAGUCCUGUUUCGAGAUUCGUCGAUUUCGGUUCUAGAAGCGGUGGCAAGUGGAGAUCGAAUCUGUUCUUGAUUCGGACCUUGAGGUCGCGGUCUCUUACGAGGUCGUUUUCGGCUAAAAAUGUGUCUAGCGAGCCAAAGACGAAAUUCAAAGAUCCGAUCUCUGACGAAGAAAAUCCAAGUAGUCGGAGUCCUUUCACUUCAGAUGCCUCAUCUAUCGCCUCAAGUAUCAAAUACCAUGCAGAAUUCACACCAUCAUUUUCCCCAGAGAAAUUUGAGCUUCCAAAGGCCUUCUUUGCAACUGCGCAAAGUGUUCGUGAUGCUCUCAUCAUAAAUUGGAAUGAAACGUAUGAGCAC
rnacentral:misc_RNA from 1 species